UACGUAGGGUGCGAGCGUUGUCCGGAAUUACUGGGCGUAAAGAGCUCGUAGGUGGUUUGUCGCGUUGUUCGUGAAAACUCACAACUCAAUUGUGGGCGUGCGGGCGAUACGGGCAGACUUGAGUUCGGUAGGGGGAGACUGGAAUUCCUGGUGUAGCGGUGAAAUGCGCAGAUAUCAGGAGGAACACCGGUGGCGAAGGCGGGUCUCUGGGCCGAUACUGACGCUGAGGAGCGAAAGCGUGGGGAGCGAACAGG
rnacentral:rRNA from 1 species